rnacentral:rRNA from 1 species
GAUGAACGCUAGCGGCAGGCUUAAUACAUGCAAGUCGAGGGACAGCACAGGUAGCAAUACUGGGUGGUAACCGGCAAACGGGUGCGGAACACGUACACAACCUUCCUUUAAGUGGGGGAUAGCCCAGAGAAAUUUGGAUUAAUACCCCGUAAUAUAGUUGAAUGGCAUCAUUUGAUUAUUAUAGCUACGGCGCUUAAUGAUGGGUGUGCGGCUGAUUAGAUAGUUGGCGGGGUAACGGCCCACCAAGUCUACGAUCAGUAGCUGAUGUGAGAGCAUGAUCAGCCACACGGGAACUGAGACACGGGCCCGACUCCUACGGGAGGCAGCAGUAAGGAAUAUUGGUCAAUGGACGCAAGUCUGAACCAGCCAUGCCGCGUGAAGGAUUAAGGUCCUCUGGAUUGUAAACUUCUUUUAUUUGGGACGAAAAAGGGCCUUUCUAGGUCAACUGACGGUACCAGAUGAAUAAGCACCGGCUAACUCCGUGCCAGCCGCCGCUGUAAAAC